rnacentral:rRNA from 1 species
AUUGAACGCUGGCGGCAGGCCUAACACAUGCAAGUCGAGCGAGCGGCGGACAGGUGAGUAAUGUCUGGGAAACUGCCUGUUGGAGAGGGAUAACUACGGGAAACGGUAGCGAAUACCGCAUACAAUCAGAUUUGCCCAGAUGGGGUUGGCUGGUAGGGGGGGUAACGGCGCACCUAGGCGACGAACCCUAGCUGGUCUGAAAGGAUGACCAGCCACACUGGAACUGAGACACGGUCCAGACUCCUACGGGAGGCAGCAGUGGGGAAUAUUGCACAAUGGGCGCAAGCCUGAUGCAGCCAUGCCGCGUGGGUGAAGAAGGCCUUCGGGUUGUAAAGCACUUUCAGCGGGGAGGCGGUACCCGCAGAAGAAGCACCGGCUAACUCCGUGCCAGCAGCCGCGGUAAUUC